rnacentral:rRNA from 1 species
AUACGUAGGGGGCGAGCGUUAUCCGGAAUUAUUGGGCGUAAAGAGUGCGUAGGUGGUCUUGUAAGCGUGGGGUGAAAGGCAGUGGCUUAACCAUUGUUAGCCUUGCGAACUGUGAGACUUGAGUGCAGGAGAGGAAAGCGGAAUUCCUAGUUAAGCGGUGAAAUGCGUAGAUAUUAGGAGGAACACCUGUGGCGAGGGCGACUUUCGGGACUGUAACUGACACUGAGGCACGAAAGCGUGGGGAGCAAACAGGAUUAGAUACCCUGGUAGUCCAGGGCGUAAACGAUGAACACUAGGUGUCGGGGUUUAAAGACUUCGGUGCCGCAGUUAACGCAUUAAGUGUUCAGCCUGGGGAGUACGCACGCAAGUGUGAAACUCAAAUGAAUUGACGGGG